AUUGAACGCUGGCGGCAGGCUUAACACAUGCAAGUCGAGCGGGGUGAUGGUGCUUGCACUAUCACUUAGCGGCGGACGGGUGAGUAAUGCUUAGGAAUCUGCCUAUUAGUGGGGGACAACAUCUCGAAAGGGAUGCUAAUACCGCAUACGUCUUACGGGAGAAAGCAGGGGAUCACUUGUGACCUUGCGCUAAUAGAUGAGCCUAAGUCGGAUUAGCUAGUUGGUGGGGUAAAGGCCUACCAAGGCGACGAUCUGUAGCGGGUCUGAGAGGAUGAUCCGCCACACUGGGACUGAGACACGGCCCAGACUCCUACGGGAGGCAGCAGUGGGGAAUAUUGGACAAUGGGGGGAACCCUGAUCCAGCCAUGCCGCGUGUGUGAAGAAGGCCUUAUGGUUGUAGAGCACUUUGAGCGAGGAGGAGGCUCUUUUGGUUAAUACCCAAGAUGAGUGGACGUUACUCGCAGAAUAAGCACCGGCUAACUCUGUGCCAGCCGCCGCCGUAA
rnacentral:rRNA from 1 species